UUUAUCUUACUGUUCUUUCAUUGCUUGGGAGCAUGACCAGAAGCAGGGCUCCACAGCCUCUGACCCUAGCAACAGAUGCAGGAAGACUUUGUGUCUCCUCCCAAAGCUGAGGACAAGUGCAGUGAGACAUCAAAGGACUAAAAUUUCUGCCUAAAGCCCGGCUGGCUUCAUGUUAAAGGUCGUGGUGAAGCUGUAAGCACCAACGAGUGAUCUCCACUUGGAGGCAGAGGGCUUUGACACUCGACAGUCCAGAGGCCAGACUGAGUGGGAGUUAGGGGAGCUUUAACUUGAUCCUGGUAGGGAGCCGGAUCAGCUGGAAGUGCUGCAGUACAGGUGCCUGGGGUGCCAGGUGGAUACAAUGAGGGGGCCUGAGCUAGUACUGGAAUCAUGAAAAGAUUCCUCCAAGAAGUGUGGUUAGGCCUGAGCUCUGGAUGAGGGAUAGGAAUUGUCUAGGCAAAGGGACAGGGCUGGAGAUAUAUCUGGUAGAGGGGACAGCAUCUGUGAAGGCCUGAAAUGGGGAACCGGAGCUUGCAGCAUUGGAAGUCAGAAACUUCAGAGAGGAUGCUGAGCCAAUGGUCACGGUACUUGUCACUAGGCAGAAUUCUCUGGUGGGCCAAAGGGUGUGCUGGCCCCUUCAGGGCAGGGAGGUGGAGCUAUGAACCCAGGACUCAAUUCUUGCUCAACCAAUCUCAAAUUCUGUGACCCUAUCAAAGUCACUGAACAUCUCUGAACCUGUUUCCCCUUCUGUAGAGUGAAGGUGCAAACACGACUAAGAGCAACAUUUGGUGAGAGGACGGAUUGAGAUGGUACACAUGUCAGGGGCUUCUCAUAUGCACAUGCAAAAGUACCAUUAUUAUUAUUAUUAUCUAGGGCACUAGACUUCUGGGAGCAUAUGCAGAAAAAAGAAUCACGCUUGGAAUGAAAAAAAGUGGAGGCUGGUCCCCUGUGCCAUCUACACCAACCAAGGCAGCUUCUGACUGAAGUUUCCUCAUCUGCAAAGUGGGGUUGAUCAUAGCAUCUCCUUAAGUGGCGGUGAUGUUGAAAUGAGACAGUGUGUGAGCAAGUGCUUUGCAUGAGGGUGGAAGAGUGAAGUCUGUGCCUUUGUUAUAGAAACAAUUAUUCCCUCGCCUCACUACUUUUCCACUGGCUGUUCUUUUUCCUGUUUUUAGACUAAUAAGUCCCUGGUGCCUUUUAUGGUAAACUGCCUCUCAUCCUCUUCGCAAGCAGAUUGCGCCUGGCUAGUAAAUUUAAUAAAAGUAAUAUGUCUUUGUUUCCUUUGUGGGCACCAAAGCCCUUCUCCCUUUGCUUCACAUAUGCCACCUUUUCCCUCUAUCACCCAUUCCUUUCCUUUGCUUCAUGAAUGUAAAGGCAACUCUAAUUGGUCCUUCUCUCUGCCUUCCCAGCUUGUUGUCUCAGCUGGUGCCUGCUCUGAACCUUCCAUUGAAAGAAGCCUAAAAUGAAAAGUGGGACCCCAGGCCCCAUCCCCCAAAGCAACCACUGUUACCCAUUUCCUGUGCCUUUUCAGAAAUAGACUACGACCAUGGACACAUAUGUGUAGAUUGUAGCCUACAUUUUCCUACAAAUUGGGGCCAUUACAUAUGGUGUUCCGAACCUGGCUUUUAAAAUUUCACAAUCUAUUGUUGAGGUCAUUUUGUGUCAGUACACAUAGAGUUCCUUUAUUCUUUAUUUUUGGAUGAGUAAUAGGAUGUGAUGUGGGACUUUUCCACUUGUUCUGGAAUUACAGCCAAGGGUCGAUGAUGUAAACAAAAGAUGCUAGGUGUUCCUGCAUUCUACAGAGAGCCCUGACCAGAGGCCGCCGUCGCCUCUGCAAAUAACUUAAGAGGACUUGGAAACCUUCCUUAUGCAUCAACCACCCAGGCAGGUUUCUGUGGGGAGCACACUAGGCCUGGGAGGAGGUGGAAAAUCAGCCUUGGGGACUUCUGUCUGCCUGGGGAGACGUGACUUCCUUUCCUCCCAAAAAGCUUCCUGUCAUGUAGGUGGAUGGGAAAGGGAUCCUGGAGAGUCACUUGUGGAGCUUGCUAGAAGGGGAGACAACGGGCCUUCAGCCUGAUGCUCGCUGAGCCGCGGAAUCGAGGGUCCAUAUGAGGGCACGCCAUGGAAGAAGGGCAUUGAGACAGCCAAGAGGAAGCUUGUG
rnacentral:lncRNA from 10 species